rnacentral:lncRNA from 1 species
GGGAGGGGGGUGUGCGAGGGGGAGCGUGUAAAGGAGGGCCGGGGAGCGAGUCCGUGAGUGUGAGGGAGCGUGCAAGGGCGGGACGGGGCGCGCGCGCGUGUGUGAGGGAGUGUCUGUGAGCAUGAGGUCGAGAGCGUUUGGCCGGGAGCGUGUGAGGGCGUGGGGGUGCGUGUGAGGGCUCCAGUGGGUGUGCGAGGGCACGUGUGGGUGUGUGAGGGCACAUGGGCGUGUGUGAGCAUGUGGGGUAACGUGUGAGGGCACGUGUGGGUGCGUGAGGGUGUGGGGUUAUGUGUGAGGGCACGUGUGGGUGCGUGAGGGCACGUGUGUGAGGGUGUGAGGUUACGUGUGAGGGCUCGAGGGAGGCCACGCGGCCAUACACGAAGCGGGAGGCUGAGGUCCUGUGCGUGUGUGGGACCGUGGUGCUGAGGGGCUGCCGCCGCCCGCGAUGCCCGGGCAGCCGCUGCGGACACGCGUGAGGUGCGGGCAGCCCUCUGUCCUCCUCCUGUCCCCGGUCCGAGAGGAGAAAUAGCUACGGCCCGUCUUCAGUGCGUGUGGCAGAUUGAGAAGAACAGAGAUUCUAACACUUGAGAGGGUCCUUUCACCCUUGGCAUCACACACCUUUAGGAAAGCAGGAACCCAAACCAAGAACGGAACGUGUUCUAAGUCAAGUCACAAUAUGUCUACAAACCAGGGUUAAAAUAGGAGACAACCCUUACAGGAAUCUAAACAUGAGCAUUGCUUAACGAUGAGGCAGUGUUAUCAGUGCCUAAAGUUAUCCACCAGCUGCUGGGGUGUCUGUUGGCACUGCUGUACCAGAGAAGCACGUGGUAAUGCAUGUCACCACAUGUCUGCCAGUACUACCUAGCAAGGGAGGAGCUGCCCAGGUGUGCUGAGGGGCCUGUACUCAGGAAGAGAAACAGGGAAUCCUCCACAGCAUUGGAAAAGUACCCCAACUCACCAAUGACUGCAAAACAAAUACUGGAAGUCAUUCAGAAAGAAGGGUUAAAAGAAACAAGGUCAGUGUUUAUGUAUUCUGUAUUUUUACUGUCUCUUUGAAAACCAUCUAGGAAUGGUUCACAGAACACAGUGUGCUGGUUAAUGGCUGAAUUAAUUUCCAGUACCACGGUGGGAAAUACAGCUUAUGGGUUUUUUUUGUUCAUUAGUUCAAGGCUUUUAAAAUGGAAAGUGACUGGCGUAACUUUGUGCCUUCCAAAAGGCCUCUGUUGGCCAGCUCUGGUCCAAUAGCCUUUCUUUACAAACAGAGUGGGAUCCGGUCAGAAAGUCCAGAGCUGCUGCUCGUUUUUGCUGAAAGCCCCAGGCUUGGUGGCUGUGUUGCCUCUACCAUCAUGGGCGUGAAGAAUGUGUGAGGUGGAGUUGGAAGCACUCUUUCUCUCACUUAAGUUUGUGGUCUGGCACUUAAGUUGCUGUUAUGACAUGCUGGUGUUGCCUGCAGCAGUGGGGGCUGAGCUGAUAAAGGGUCGGGAAUGGAUGGAGAGCAGUGUUGGAGCACUGAGAGCUAGUCUGCAUAGUUGCAGCGCCUGGAUCCUGAGUUGCUAAAUAGCAGUGUACACUGGAUGUAGAUUUCAGCUAUAAUCUUAAAGCUGUUAGAGGUUUGGUGGGUUAUCCAGAGUUAUGGAAAUCAUAGUUGUCUUCUGACUCCAGUAUGUUUGGGAUCAGAUAAGUAUGGUUCACUCAGAUGAGCAUGCUCCGUCCUGUUUCUGCUUGGUAGGUCUUCUAGUGACCCUCAGAUGGAAACUUGGGCAGGAAAUAAUAUAAGGAAAAACUGUUUGUUUGGUGGUUGUUUCCUACAAGAUGCAGUUUCCUCUUCUCCAAAUCAUAAAUUUUUCUAUUCUAAUAAGUAAUUCUAAUAUGUGUUGCUGUCUCAAAGGGAAACAUUUGCUUUUAUUUUAAUUAUAUUCCUUUAUUUUGGUACCUAAAUUCUAGAAAAAGGGAACAUAAAGCCUGAGUGGAGCAGUAGUAACACAUUAUUUCCGUUACUUCUGAACAUAAUCUGUUGAACCAGAAGUAACUGCGGGAUAUAUUUUUACUGAGUUCAGUGUUGUUCCUAAAGAACAGAAAUGCUCUGCAUGACUGUUUGCAGUGCUUGGCCAUGCACUGCUUUCUUGGUACCCAUAUGACAUGGUUAUAAUAUCUGUAUUUUGGUAAGAGUGCAAAAGAGAUGGAGUGCAAGAUGAAGCUGAAUUUGCCAUGUUUUACAGAUAUGAAAUGCUUUAGUUCCUGCCAAGAAAUUGCUUGAAGUGUAUUUGGCAGGGCCAAAGAAACAAGGAAAUGAAAACUUUUGAAAACGAAUGUCCAAACGUGUGUUAUGCUGUAAGGAUUUGCAUUUAAAAAAAAAGAAAAGAAAAAAACACCAAACAACCACAUUUGAAAAUCUGUUUUCAUUAAGAUUCUGUUUCUCACAGCAGUGCAUAGAUUGCUUUCUUCUUACAUCUUGUGAUAUGAGGCAACCACAUGGGAGAAGCUUACAUGCCUGAUAAUAGCAUUUCUUUGUAAUUUUAAAAAUUCUUGUUUCCCUAAAAAGUAUGUAAAUAAAAUUUUGUGCGUAAAACCUAUGGGAGGUAGU